rnacentral:misc_RNA from 1 species
AACACCUCAAUUUCAUGAUUUUAUGUCUUGAAAUUGGACUUGAGCAUAUCCCAACGUGUAAUUUAAUUAUAUGGAGGGUUGCUUCAAAUGCAGGUGCAGCCGAUCAUUCUUCUGGGCUAAAAGCAUUAUCUAGUUAGUCCCGUAAAACGGAUUAUUCAUUUUAUUGCUGCAGCUUACCUUUAUGAAAGGAAGACAUGGCCAUUGUGCUGACUGAUGCAGGAUUUCUCAGAGGGUCUGCAAAGACUUUUUGAAA